rnacentral:lncRNA from 1 species
CCUCACCACACCAACCAGAAGAUGACUGGACAGUCUAAGUGCGAUUGGUACAUCAGGGGAAAGAAUUGAAUCUGUAAAAGGGAAAAACGUUAAAAGGAGACAUGAGCCUAUACUAAAAAAUUAGCAACAGUGCAACAGUAAAUGAAACUGAAUUUAUCCUGUUUCCUAAUAUGGAUGUCUCUGUUGAGCUAAAACAAUCGAAUGCAGGGAGCAGGCUGCAUGUGUUUGCACCUCACACUACUAUACAAUGCAAUUGCAUGUAAACUGGAAUCAGAUAAAAGAAAGAUAACAAAGGCACGUAAAACGGAUUCACUGAUACUUCUUUAUGGUUCUUUUCAGCCAGACCAAGAGAAACUUUUA